CAGACCUUGACAUACCAAUCGCGGUUUCCGGAGACGGAUUCCUUCAGUUCGGCUGGAUUGGAUACAGGUGCUGCAUGGCUGUCGUCAGCUCGUGUCGUGAGAUGUUGGGUUAAGUCCCGCAACGAGCGCAACCCUCGCCUUUAGUUGCCAGCAUUCAGUUGGGCACUCUAAAGGGACUGCCGGUGAUAAGCCGGAGGAAGGUGGGGAUGACGUCAAGUCCUCAUGGCCCUUACGGUCUGGGCUACACACGUGCUACAAUGGUGGUGACAGAGGGCAGCGACUUCGCGAGGAGGAGCUAAUCCCUAAAAGCCAUCUCAGUUCGGAUUGUUCUCUGCAACUCGAGAGCAUGAAGUUGGAAUCGCUAGUAAU
rnacentral:rRNA from 1 species